GAUACACGGGGCAAGUCGUUAACAAAAUGUUUCCCCUCUCUAUCGGCAGUUAUCUUUCGGCUGUUCCUAGGGCCUUCAAGAUCACUCCACUGGAUCACUGGACCAUUAUUUACAUCAGCAUGGAGAACAUGUAGCCUACCACUGAAUAGAAAAUACAUAUCCUUCCCUCCUAUAUUUGUUCUUUAAAAUGUGUUUCUUAGGUCUAUUGUAUUCUAGUCUUUGAACACCAUUAUUGUAGACUUCUCCCCUGUCCUGUCUGAUAAAUUUAAAAUUGCAUUUUUAAAUAUUAUUCCCUAAUGCUGGGAUAUGUGAACUUUAAUAAAUAAUUUUAUUCAUUA